rnacentral:rRNA from 1 species
AGUGAACGCUGGCGGUAGGCUUAACACAUGCAGGUCGAACGGCAGCACAGUAAGAGCUUGCCCUUACGGGUGGCGGGUGGCGGACGGGGGAGGAAAACAUCGGAAUCUAUUUUUUCGUGGGGGAUAACGUAGGGAAACUACCGCUAAUACCGCAUACGACCAACGGGGGAAAGCAGGGGAUUUUCGGACUUUGCGCGAUUGAUUGAGCCGAUGUCGGAUUAGCUAGUUGGCGGGGUAAAGGCCCACCAAGGCGACGAUCCGUAGCUGGUCUGAGAGGAUGAUCAGCCACACUGGAACUGAGACACGGUCCAGACUCCUACGGGAGGCAGCAGUGGGGAAUAUUGGACAAUGGGCGCAAGCCUGAUCCAGCCAUACCGCGUGGGUGAAGAAGGCCUUCGGGUUGUAAAGCCCUUUUGUUGGGAAAGAAAAGCAGCAGGUUAAUACCCCGCUGUUCUGACGGUACCCAAAGAAUAAGCACCGGCUAACUUCGUG